GACGAACGCUGGCGGCGUGCUUAACACAUGCGAGUCGAACGGAAAGGCCCCUUUGGGGGUACUCGAGUGGCGAACGGGUGAGUAACACGUGAGUAACCUGCCCUUGACUUCGGGAUAACUUCAGGAAACUGGGGCUAAUACCGGAUAGGAAUCCUUGCUGCAUGGUGGGGGUUGGAAAGCUUCGGCGGUUUUGGAUGGACUCGCGGCUUAUCAGCUUGUUGGUGGGGUAGUGGCUUACCAAGGCUUUGACGGGUAGCCGGCCUGAGAGGGCGACCGGCCACAUUGGGACUGGGAUACGGCCCAGACUCCUACGGGAGGCAGCAGUGGGGAAUAUUGCACAAUGGGCGGAAGCCUGAUGCAGCAACGCCGCGUGCGGGAUGACGGCCUUCGGGUUGUAAACCGCUUUCAGCAGGGGCGAAGCUUGUGGUGACGGUACCUGCAGAAGAAGCACCGGCUAACUACGUG
rnacentral:rRNA from 1 species